CAGCCAAGCGUUCAUAGCGACGUU
rnacentral:ncRNA from 2 species